rnacentral:rRNA from 1 species
CCUACGGGCGGCAGCAGUGGGGAAUAUUGCACAAUGGGGGAAACCCUGAUGCAGCAACGCCGCGUGAGGGAAGAAGUAUUUCGGUAUGUAAAGCUCUAUCAGCAGGGAAGAAGAUGACGGUACCUGACUAAGAAGCCCCGGCUAACUACGUGCCAGCAGCCGCGGUAAUACGAAGGGGGCAAGCGUUAUCCGGAUUUACUGGGUGUAAAGGGAGCGUAGACGGCAGGGCAAGUCUGGAGUGAAAGCCCGGGGCCCAACCCCGGGACUGCUUUGGAAACUGCAAUGCUAGAGUGCUGGAGAGGUAAGUGGAAUUCCUAGUGUAGCGGUGAAAUGCGUAGAGAUUAGGAGGAACACCAGUGGCGAAGGCGGCCUACUGGACAGUAACUGACGUUGAGGCGCGAAAGCGUGGGGAGCAAACAGGAUUAGAUACCCCUGUAGUC